AUAGAAACGCAAGGAAGUGGUACACACAGUGACUCUGCAUGAGAUAGAUGUCAUCAACUCCAGGACUCAUGGGUUCCUCGCACUUUUCUCUGGUGAUACCGGUGAGAUAAAAUCCGAGAUUCGCGAGCAGAUCAACAGCCGAGUGGCGGAAUGGCGCGAGGAGGGCAAAUCCGAGAUGAUACCCGAGUACUAUUCAUAGACGAGGCUCACAUGCUGGACAUAGAGUGCUUCUCGUACCUAAACCGCGCGUUAGAGUCGGACACCGCGCCCGUCGUCAUCAUGGCGACUAACCGCGGUAUUACGCGCAUCCGCGGCACUAAUUACCGAGCCCCGCGCGCUAUACAUACUGCGUUGUACAUUACGCAUAUACAACAACACUACUUUAAUAGUUAACUUAGCUAAAACUUGCUCCUCC